rnacentral:rRNA from 1 species
AGAGGGUGCGAGCGUUGUUCGGAAUUAUUGGGCGUAAAGCGCUUGUAGGCGGCCUAUCAAGUCGCGUGUGAAAUCCCCUGGCUUAACCAGGGAAGUGCGCGCGAAACUGAAGGGCUUGAGUGCCGGAGAGGGUCGCGGAAUUCCCGGUGUAGAGGUGAAAUUCGUAGAUAUCGGGAGGAACACCAGUGGCGAAGGCGGCGACCUGGACGGACACUGACGCUGAGACGCGAAAGCGUGGGGAGCAAACAGGAUUAGAUACCCUGGUAGUCCACGCUGUAAACGAUGGACACUAGGCGUCGGGGGGAGCGACCCUCCCGGUGCCGUCGCUAACGCAGUAAGUGUCCCGCCUGGGGAGUACGGCCGCAAGGCUG